UUCCAUCCUUUUGGCGACUACCAAGAUCUCCUUCUGACCAGUCUCUUUUAACUGAGGACUUCCUUGGUCCUAACAUUGACUUGACAUCUUCCUGAGGCUGCCUCUUCAUUUUCCAUCUCUGCUCUGGCAGUGCAGCUCAAGGGUAGUGGUCCUGCUCUGGCACCUGGCCCAGGCAAUGACCCACAGUGCUGUGACUUCAGGACUGCCAUGCACCAGCCAGAAG
rnacentral:lncRNA from 1 species